UGAGUAAGUCAGACGAUUGCGCCCGCAAGGGUGAGGAAAGUCCGAGCACCACAGGGAAGAGUGCCGGGUAACACCCGGUGGAGGCGACUCCAAGGACAGUGCAACAGAAAUAAACCGCCGCAUUUGCGGUAAGGAUGGAAAGGCGAGGUAAGAGCUCACCGACGACAUGGCGACUUGUCGGGCCUGUAAACCCCACUCGGUGCAAGAUUGAAUUGGGAGCAAUAAAUAGCGUCCCGCUACGCUCCUUGUAAUCGCAUGAACCGCAUGGCAACAUUCGGUCAAGACAGAUAAUCGUCCUCGACAGAACUCGGCUUACGGCUUACUCAAAAA
rnacentral:RNase_P_RNA from 1 species